rnacentral:lncRNA from 1 species
GAAUAUUUUGACCUAGAAAUCAAAUUUUGUGCUCCUUACUUUUGGACAAACUUUUUAUAAUGCGCUAUACAUAUUUGCAAAAUCAUCAGAAAUAUACAUCAACUUUACAACAUGACCAAAAUUGCAUGCAUAAACAUUUUGUGGGGAUCAAAAACAUGACAUUUUCUUAUGAAGAUGUAAAAUUAAAUUUAGUAAUUUUGUAUCGAUAACAAACUUA